UGAUGCUGCGGAAGAGUGCGCGUUGGAGAAGCCAACUGAAGCCAAACAACAGAGUUCGGACGUUGAUUCCAAAUUGACGGAUGACCUGAGCAGCGAAGAUUCGGACUCUGACCAGGACAUCUUUUUAGAGUUUGACAGCCCGAAGGAACAGACAAUGCCAGUUGGCAGCAGUGAAACAGAGGAUCAUCUUCCAGGAAGUGUGCCCGAGCUAUCAUAUGUUGCAGUUCGGCAAUCACUGCAAAUUCUUGUGGAGGACUGGCAGUUAGAGUUGGCGAAAUUGGCUGCAUGUGCAAGAGGCCCAGUGCCAAAGAGAAGGAGACCGAUCUUCAACUAAUAGACGGGGUGAUCAUUCUUGUAAAGUGUGUGGUUUGCUUUGUAAUGCAGGAAGAUUAUUUUCGAUCAUUUUUAUUGUAAAUUGUCGGCUAGUGGUGACAAUCCUUUUGUAGUUGGAUGCUUUUGUCUUGGAUUUAUUUUUUUUCGAGUGGGUUUUUGCAGUG